rnacentral:rRNA from 1 species
AACGAACGCUGGCGGCAGGCCUAAUACAUGCAAGUCGAACGCCGUAGCAAUACGGAGUGGCAGACGGGUGAGUAACGCGUGGGAACCUUCCUAAUGGUACGGAAUAGCCCGGGGAAACCCGGAGUAAUACCGUAUAAGCCCGUAAGGGGAAAGAUUUAUCGCCAUUAGAUGGCCCGCGUCGGAUUAGCUAGUUGGUAGGUAACGGCCUACCAAGGCUACGAUCCGUAGCUGGUCUGAGAGGAUGAUCAGCCACACUGGGACUGAGACACGGCCCAGACUCCUACGGGAGGCAGCAGUAGGGAAUAUUGGACAAUGGGCGAAAGCCUGAUCCAGCCAUGCCGC